UUAAAGAGCCGCCCGCUGCCCCAGCCCGGCCUGGCUUAUCCGAUUCGCUAAUUCGCCACGGUGAGGGUGCAAGCCUCACUGUUCCGGCUUCGAACAGGGCCGUCGGAUAGCGUUCCGUUGGUUUUUGGGAAUGCUGCUCUGGGUUGAUUUAGUCCAAUCGUUCUCCAUAACUGCUUCAGUGCGUGGAACUGCUCUUACGGGCAGAGAAUGACGCUAGAGAGAAAAUUGCUCAGGAAACGUUAAGCAGGUUUUGUUAGUUUCAAGGCAGGUUUUUUAAAUCGUUCACAAUAUUGGCAGAACGGAUUGAGGCAAGGUUCCUUUGUUGCCCCGGUAAAUUACAUUUCCACAAAUGGAAUUUGCAAAAGAAAGCUUCAGAAGGAAGUGGUUUUUUGUUUGUUUUUUGAGAGAGAAAGAGCCAGCCAAGCUUUUUCCGAAGAUAGCUCCAUUCUGUGCUCUAUCAUAUUUCACAGCAGAACUUACUGGACUGUUUCCAACAUUAGUUGUGCUUAUGCAAACGCUGCGUUUCCUCCAGAUUACCUGAACGUCCUUCUGGUGAUGGACUUGGUUACUGCUCAGCAGGAUCAAGAGGAGGCAAACCAAGCGGAAUCAUACUGAUGAACUGCCUAGGCUAGAAGCCUGUAAACACCAUGCCCAACUAGAUUUCUGGUUGGUAGACAUUCCAUAGACAUGAGUAUAUCUCGGCAAAUGGUAUCUUAUGGCACUUGUUCCUUUUGACCUAUCAUAAGCCUGGAGGGAACUCUUUUCGGGAAAGGAAAUUUAACAUAUUCAGGUAAAGAAAUGGGGUAGAAAAAAUUUAAAAGAAUACUGUGUUGGUUCUGUAAUUUUCAAAGUAGCACAACUUGUUGCCAGUUCUGACUCAACAUUGUUAUGCCACAAUAUAUAGACCACUAAUUUGGUUCUGAAGCCAGUCUUGAGAUGCUCAAGGAAGAAAAAUGACAAUUUUCCAGGCAGUGGACUUUUGUCUUAUUAAAAUAUGCAGCCUUCCCUUUAUUCUUGCUGAUACCAGCAUAGAAAUAACAUAAAAGCCAACAUAUCUGACCUGACAUCUUUUGAAUGGAAAAUACAACUCGUAGUUGUAUUUUCGCUGUCAGAGAAAGAGGUACUAGUAGGAUUUUCUGUUUCGGGGGAAAAAUAGCUUUACUGAUUUUGAGUACUGUGCACUUAGAAGUUGUGAGGUGCCAUUUGUUGCCCUUCCUAAGGCAGCAAAAUAUUUUUGUGUCCAGCCCAGGACAUCCCUAGAAAGACUUGUGGGAUGGGGAAAAGAAGCUGAGAUGUUGUAAGAAAUUAUGUGGGGUAAAGGAAUACCUAUGAAAACAUGAUCAGGAUCAUAUCAAACUUAUUGCCUACCUCUAAAUAAGCAUAAGUUUGAUAAGCCAUACCAAGUUCAGUUGGAUUUACUCCAAGUGUAGGUCUAGAAUCUCACUUCAUAUGUUCAGACCUGUAAUUUGAAUAUAGUUCCAAGAUUUAGAUCUAAAGAGAAACCCAGGGAUCACACAUUCUGGUAAUUUUGAAAUGUCAACAGUUAAAGCCAGUGUGCAGUCAAGUGUUGUACUAUGACUUGGGAUAUCCAGAUUCUGGCCCCCAUUCAGCCAUGAAGCUUACAGGGUGAUUUUUGGGCCAGUUCUCGAUUCUCAACCUCCCUCCCUCAGUGUGAAAAUAGAAAUUUUGUAAACCACCUUGGGUUCCAUAGAGAAAUAAAAACCCCAAAUCCAUAGUUUGGCCAUACUUUAUUUCAGGAAUUUUUAUUGUCCAGCUAUGCAUUCUGAUAUGAUGAGGUUGCUAGUAACAUAGCAUUUGUUACUGAUCUUAGGACUUCCAGAAAUUAGAACUCAAAAACUGUAAGAAAGUGAGAAUUACAGGUAUUACCAUAAGGCACCAUUUUUGGCAGCCCCCUUUCUACCUUCUUACCCAGUCCAGAGACCAGAAGUUGCAAAACAGCCUUCUCCAGUCCUGAGGUCUCUGCAAGUGCUGUUGUGUGGGAGACAGAGCAAAUGGGAGAUUUUCUCAGAAAUUCCACUAUACUUAAUGAGGGUUACUCCUAAUAAAUGUGUAAGUUUGCAACUUAAGAGCAUAAGGUUCUUGUUGUCUACAGUACAUUGCCACAAUCUCCCUUGCCAGUGUGCCAAUGUUCAGUUUGCAAUUAAUUGGGAAAUGAUUAAUGUUCCAUACAGUGCUUUGCUAGUCCUAGGCUCUAUCCUUAAUCUGGAUUUGAGCCUGAAAGACUAGGAAAAAGUGUGGGGACAUAGAGAGUAAGUGUGAAGCAAGCACAAUUUGGGACAUUGCACAGUUCUGUCCUGAAAGCAGGCAAGAAAUUAAUUAGUUUGUCUUCUGUAAAAUUUACAUCAUACUUAUUCUUAAGCAUGUACAUGUACAAAUUAACAUAUUAUUUAGUCCACAGAACAUUUUGCAAACUAUAAAAAGUACAUGUACAUUUAUGCAAGUCUCUUCCAUACUUGGCACCACUCCUAAGCAAAAGGAAUGAAGUAAGGAACACAUCCUUUUUCAAGCUGAUGAUCAAGGUAUAUGAAGGCACUGAACUGCAAUAAAGCACAAAGAUUUUGGCAACAACAGAACUAACAUCCCAAAGUUAUGGCAAUAGGUCAAGCACUUGAGAAGAAUCUCAGAAUAUAGAAAAGAAUGGGAAAGAAAAACAGAGAAGCCAGAAUUCCACUGCAGCGCUUCAUCUAUUACCUGUUUUUAUCGUUAUCUGGUCAGAAUUUCCAUACCAUACUUUUUAAGCAAUGCCCUGGGCUUUAAGAUGCAUAGUUUUGUGUGGAUGUUAUAUAGAACAAUGUGAUAGGUGCUACUGUUGUCUAGCAAUGAUGUAACUAAUCUAGUCCAGUAUUUCCUAGGUAAUUCCAGAGACCAUGAAAUUGUAUUUAAUAACAGACAAUAUUUUAUUGAACAAUUCUAUUUACAAUACAAAAAGUUUCAAAUGAAAUACCACUGUUGAUUUAUUGCAGUUUGAUGGCUCAGUUUUAAUUUGUACUCAUAUAAAAUGCAAAAUAAAAUAAUUUAACAUUCAA